rnacentral:lncRNA from 1 species
AAGCAGCCUCUUGCCGACAAUGCCAGAUUUUUGCUAGAUUUUGCACCUUCGAAGGUAAAGGAUUUGUUCACUGAAACACUUACAUGCAGCAGGAAGACUUGAUUAUAUAUCUGGGGUCCACUGUGUGAGGAUGUAGUACAUCCGAGAUCACCAUACGGCUGAGACACGUGGUGACACGUGGUGGAUCUGGAGAGUCACGAUUCUCACCUGUGUAUGUAUGAGCGAUAGAGUUUUUUCUCUUCUUCCUUAGUUUUCAACAUGGUAUCAGAGCUCAGGGAUUAAAUCCUGGGCUGAAUGGAGGAGGAAGAGGAGGAAGACAAUGAGCCCCCUGAUCUGGAGCUGCUGUGAAUUGCAAAUAUCAAGAUGGAGGUUUUCUUGUUUAUUUUGUCUUGUGCAGGCAACCCUAAAAUGGAGGCGGUUCUUGAUCGAGACUGGCCUGGAUUUGAAUUGAAAGGGUUGCGGCACUGCUUGCUACGGCUGGAGACGAUCUGAUGCCCCUGCUGCUACAAGGGAAGGCUUCCUUGGGUUGGAGAUUUGCUGAUGCUGCCAAGAGGCUUCUCUUCUUCUUGGGAAUUGCUGUGCGCAAGGGCCUUGAGGCUGAUGGAGAGAUCACAUUUGAGUGGGGGAGAUGGAACAAAAUGCUAAUUCCUGACGGGUCCUGAUACAAGCUGGGCUGUGUGCAAGCUUGGGUACCUUGGAACGUGCUGCUAUUGUUGUUCAACACCACAAGAUGCUGAUUUCAUGAGCUCAACUUUUCUCGGCUGAGUGGGGGGAGUGAGAUAGGUUUCCCGGUGGUUUAGCAUUAGUUUCUUUUUUCUGAUCCAGCCUUCGCACACUGAUCUCGGCUAAGUGGGGGUGUGAGGAUGUAGUACAUCCGAGAUCACCAUACGGCUGAGACAUGUGGUGACACGUGGUGGAUCUGGAGAGUCACGAUUCUCACCUGUGUAUGUAUGAGCGAGAGUUUUUUCUCUUCUUCCUUAGUUUUCAACACACUGAUCCUGAGCGGCUAUUACCAUGGUGAGGUUAUAAUGGCAAUAUCAACUUUAUAGAGGAGAUGAAUUGUCAGUUUUAAUUAGCUAAGG